rnacentral:lncRNA from 1 species
UUGAUGCAGCUCCAGAUAUGUUUCCAGACGAGAACAGGGAAUUUCCUUCAAGCUUGACCACCAGUGCUGCUGCCUGCUUGAUAUGGAGGUCCUCCUUUGGCAUACUCUUUUCCCACUUCAAUCUCUGUCUUGAAUUUAAUAGUUCCUCAAUCUGUUCCUUUGUGCGAUUACUCAAAGCGUUCCGCCCCGUCCCUUGUGAUUGGAUACAUUCCUGAAGAACAUUAACGAUGGAAUCCCCAAGCUUUUUGUGAUCUCCCAGAGUUGAGAUCUCUGAGAGGUCUACCAGUGCACCUACAGCCUUGUCAAUCACCUAUGAAAUAGGAUGGGAAGCAUUAGGUACAUAACAGCACAGUUCAUAUUCAAAAACCCAAAACGGUUACAACUGAUGAGUAAUGAAAUAAUAAAAAUGUCUAGGAAACAUAAUUUGAGGCAUUUAAGUAUAAGUUGCCCUCUGGCAAAGAGUUGCUCCAACUAGUCACCACAUAUAAUUAUUUAACAGGAUGGUAUUCAUAUCGGUUGAAAUUUGAACCUUUAUGAACUUAUUCCUUUCAAAAUGAAAGCAAAACAAUGUAAUGGCAAAGCAAAGGAAAAUUAUAUCGCUUUAGAAGUGAUGUGCCCCUGGCACAGGCUAGUUCAGCAUACAAUCAAUUUAAAAGGAUUGUCAACAGCAAUUGACUAUUUUAGCAGUACAAGACAUAUGAGGUUUUUUUUAUUUAUUUAUUAUUUAAUAUUGCUGUAAAUGUCUAAUUUUUGGUAGCUUUCUAGAUUUUAAAACUGAAAGUUAAUGCCUAAUCUAUAUUACUUCAUGGAGAAAAUGCAGGCUUUGAUUUUAAAGGGUGUUGACAAGGAAAUUUUUACCCCUUUUCUCCUAAAAGGAAUAAUGAUACAACUGUCACAAAUUGUAAAGAAAGAUUCAAAAAUAUAAACCACUAUAUUAAAAUCUCUAUGACACAGGAAACAUACAAUCACAAAUCUACAACUUGCUCCCAUAAACAGGGGGUAUAGCUAGGCUAUUGGACUGUAAAAUCUGUAAGGGGAGGUAGGGAUCGAUUGGUUAUAAAUAACCCUCAUUUUUCAUGCCAAAAACUUGACCUCUUCAUGUUUCAAAAACAUAAUGCAAAAAGUUUUCUUCCAAAUUCAUAAGAAAAAAUUUCUACCAUAAGGAUGAAAAACAUAACAGUAUAAAUGGAAACAUUACCAAUUAAAUACUUGACUUAUUAACACUGAUCUUCCACCAGAAAAUGAGUGUCAUGGACACAAAAGGUACCAAAAUACAUUGCAUAGAGAAAGGAGGACCAAGCAAUGCAAGGUGCUACUUAUAGUGGAGAGCUUCAGUGUACGCAUUUAUCCUAGGUAGUUUUUGCAUGUAAACCAGUGUUUUAAAAUGCUAUUUGUAAUUGGUUAUUGAGGCAUAUGCCUUGAGGUGAGGCUACACAUAUUAGCUUCAAGGCUAUAUCCUUAGUACAAGGUAACUAAGCAAAGCCUCACCUUGUUGAGGCUUACAGCCUUUGAAGCUAUCUUCAAGGCUAUUGAGGUUUAAGCCCCAAAUAUCCAAUGGGUUUAAUGCCGUUGUGGGAUUUUCGAAAUUUAAGCCUCAAUAUUCAAUGGUUUUAAUGGGUUUUUGCUUUUAUGGGGUUUUUGGAUAGUUUUUAUAAGUUUUGUGUAAUAGAGCAAUCACAUAUGAUUAUAAUUCCUUGGAGGAUCUGAAUAGUGAUAAUGAUGAUAUUGUUGAAGAUUAUUUGAUGAAACCAUGAGAGAGAGUUGGAUUUUGAAAGAGAAACUAAAUUAGAAACUACUAACAAUGACAAACAAUUUUGAUUUGGUUAUUGUGAAUUUUAUGGUUUUCCUACUAUUCAAUUUUCAUGCGAUUUUAUCAGUACUUUUUUUAAUGUUUCCUUUUUUUUUUUUUUAUUUAGUUUAAACAGAGGCUUACACUUAGUUCCACCCCAAGGCUUAUGCCUCGCCUCAUUUGGACAAAAUAUCUCAAAACCGCCUUAGUACUUUAAAACAUCAGCGUAAACUUUUGGUCCUUGCUGGGACUUUAACCUAUAACCACAUCCCUACACAAAACCCUCAUCAAUCAACUUUUGUUUGGUUGGCUUACCUAAAAAAGAAAUUAUACAUAAAUGCUAGUUUAAGUGAGGAUCAUUGAAGGAGGUAGAGGUAAUUAAGGUUGAUGGUCAGUUAUAUGAAUGCAACGAUCUUCUAUGGCCUGGUUUGAUUAUUCAUAAGAAGAAGAGGUGUGGAAAAGUUGCUGGUAAAAUUAAGCAAAGGAAUAAUAAAUAGGGGAAAUGUGUUCUAUGGUUAUGGGUCCCAGUGUGUUAAGUAGUUGCUUCAUUUCAUCGAACUGGCUAAUGAGACAACAUUAAAAUGCAACAAUAAGAUGACACUGAAAAUGAGAAUCUUCAUGAAAAGACAAUGCUUGAUGAGAUAAGGAAUAACAGAUGAGAUGGCAUGCACAUGCAAAAAGAAAACCACCACUAGCACCAGUGAAAGAAAAACAAAAAACCAAGGACAGCCUUUUAAACAUACACUUAAAAGGAAUAAAAAUGUUAUGGAUCAACCAAAAAGGAAAAAAGGAAGUUUCUAGAAUAUUGUCUUUAACAAAAAAUUGAUAGAAUGGGAUAGACUCAUAGAAGAAGGAAAAAAAUGCUUCAAAUUUUCAAAUAAGGCACUACAAAGAAUAAAUUGAAAAACCGAUUAAGUACUUCAGCAUGUUUUCUUCUUUCCACUCUUGACUUUUAAUUUACACAGUCGAAAAUAGUUGACCAACUCAGAAAAGCAAGAAACAACUAAAUGUUCUUAAGUCAGAGGCCAAGUGGAUUCCACUCUGAAAUACAAAGACUUUUAAUUUAUGCACAAAAUCAACAUUAAAG